UUGCCUUAGUAACGGCGAGUGAAGCGGCAAUAGCUCAAAUUUGAAAUCUGGCUCUUUCAGAGUCCGAGUUGUAAUUUGUAGAAGAUGCUUCGGCUUACGUACUGGUCUAAGUUCCUUGGAACAGGACGUCACAGAGGGUGAGAAUCCCGUUUGUGGCCGGUACUUCCGCUAUGUGAAGCUCCUUCGACGAGUCGAGUUGUUUGGGAAUGCAGCUCUAAAUGGGAGGUAAAUUUCUUCUAAAGCUAAAUAUUGGCCAGAGACCGAUAGCGCACAAGUAGAGUGAUCGAAAGAUGAAAAGCACUUUGGAAAGAGAGUUAAAAAGUACGUGAAAUUGUUGAAAGGGAAGCGCUUGCGACCAGACUUGCCUUUAGUUGCUCCGCCGGUCCUUCGACCGGUGUAUUCUUCUAUUGUCAGGCCAGCAUCAGUUUGGGUGGUUGGAUAAAGACUUUGGGAAUGUGACUCUCUUCGGGGAGUGUUAUAGCCCUUUGUGCAAUACAGCCUACCUAGACUGAGGACCGCGCUUCGGCUAGGAUGCUGGCGUAAUGGUCGUAAGCGGCCCGUCUUGAAACACGGACCAAGGAGUCUAACAUCUAUGCGAGUGUUUGGGUGUCAAACCCGUGCGCGAAAUGAAAGUGAACGGAGGUGGGAACCUUUUUGGGUGCACCAUCGACCGAUCCUGAUGUCUUCGGAUGGAUUUGAGUAAGAGCAUAGCUGUUGGGACCCGAAAGAUGGUGAACUAUGCCUGAAUAGGGUGAAGCCAGAGGAAACUCUGGUGGAGGCUCGCAGCGGUUCUGACGUGCAAAUCGAUCGUCAAAUUUGGGUAUAGGGGCGAAAGACUAAUCGAACCAUCUCGCGGUGGGUGCAUUAUUAUACGCAAUAUGGCUAUUGCUUUUGCUUAUUUUUGCUACUAGGUGGUUAAGAGGCGACUAAAAGUGCUCGCCUAGUCCCUCC
rnacentral:rRNA from 1 species